UUUCCGUAGGUGAACCUGCGGAAGGAUCAUUAUUGGAUUUUGAAACUUCAGGCUGCUGCUGGCUCUCCUCGGAGGACAUGUGCACGCUUGUUGUCCAUUAUUUCUCCCACUGUGCACAAAUUGUAGACCUUUCAGUAGGCCUAUGUUGUUUUUCACAAUCUCUGAAUGUAAUAGAAUGGUCUUGAAUCUUGGGAAAUACAAUACAACUUUCAGCAACGGAUCUCUUGGCUCUC
rnacentral:misc_RNA from 1 species